UACGAAGGGGGCUAGCGUUGUUCGGAAUUACUGGGCGUAAAGCGUACGUAGGCGGAUUUGUAAGUAGGGGGGUGAAAUCCCCAGGCUCAACCUGGGAACUGCCUUCUAGACUGCAAGUCUUGAGAUCAGGAGAGGCGAGUGAAAUUCCGAGUGUAGAGGUGAAAAUUCGUAGAUAUUCGGAGGAACACCAGUGGCGAAGGCGACUCGCUGGACUGAUACUGACGCUGAGGUACGAAAGCGUGGGGAGCAAACAGG
rnacentral:rRNA from 1 species